GUGUCAGCAGCCGCGGUAAUACGUAGGGUGCGAGCGUUGUCCGGAAUUACUGGGCGUAAAGAGCUCGUAGGCGGUUUGUCACGUCGUCUGUGAAAUCCUCCAGCUCAACUGGGGGCGUGCAGGCGAUACGGGCUGACUUGAGUACUACAGGGGAGACUGGAAUUCCUGGUGUAGCGGUGAAAUGCGCAGAUAUCAGGAGGAACGCCGGUGGCGAAGGCGGGUCUCUGGGUAGUAACUGACGCUGAGGAGCGAAAGCAUGGGGAGCAAACAGGAUUAGAAACCCCCGUAGUCC
rnacentral:rRNA from 1 species